UCUGGCACCAUAUAACGCCACGUCACGAGCUUCCUGCGAGCCGUCGGAUCGUCGCUUCAUGUAUCGUGCGUCUGUAUCAUAGGCCACGCGUACUAAGGCUUCCGAACUCUUCCAGACGUCGCUCGAACAAAUCAGCGGCGACGUAGUAAACCAAACAGCCAGGUCCAAAUAGAACCAAAAUUGCCAAAACUGACGGAAACACACCGGCGACGAAGAAGAAGAACAAACAAGCAAUCGAAGCCUCGGAAGGAACGCACCAGCGAUGAAGAGGAGGAAUCAAAUCAAAAGGUCAUACAGGGGAACACAUGUAGUCGUUCAAGAUUCACUAUUUCUACCAGGACUGCUUGGAUUCAACCGAUCAGGACUGCAGCAGACUCACUUAGUGCAUCAACGUUGCAACAAAGAUUCCUUGCAAAUUCCAUAGCAAUGGGAGUAAUCAUUCUGGGCUUGUUGCGGGCAUUUAUUUUGUAGCAUUACAUCAGAUGCAAUGAUGAGUUCUCUUUUGAAAACACAACUGUUACCUCAAAUUGCAAAAUGUAAGUUAUAGUUAGGCUACAUAAUUGAUUCCAUCUCCAGCCAUGCAAAACUGAAUCUUGAGUUGCCACUAAUGUUUGAAACUGACCCUGGAAAGAGAACCUUGGGCUCCUAUCUGUAACUGCUGGUGAUGACAAAAUUUUUCCCAUACUGUUUUGAUUUCA